ACUGGGCACUGUUCACAGUGACAGGCGACAGGAAUAGAAAUCCACAGAAGCUCCCCGUUCUUGCCUGCUCCGAAGACUGAAGUCCAGCAGUCUCUCAUGCUGUGGGCCCAGACACUGCUCUCUGUCUUGACUGCCAAACCCUGGCUGGCCAAGUGACGAUUCACCAUCCUUACAACAUACUCCAGUCACUGAAGAUUCCCCACGGAACCACCACCUUCCUGCUCAGGCCUCUUCAUCUAUCCAACAGGAGGAGGGGAAAGAGACCAUUGACCCAGGACUGCCCUGGCGUGCAUGAAGCCCUGAGUGAGGGCUGUGGCAACUUCCCGGCCUGCACACACUGCUGCUGCUUUCUUGGUGCCUAUGAGUCAUGCCUUGUCACCCGUGUGACAUUAAUCACUCAGUGGGACUCAGAAAUCCAGCAGAUGAAUUCUGAAACUGAGUUGGGGAGGAGGCCAAAUGUCUCAUCGUGAGAUGAGUCCCAGGGUACAGUCUCGGACAGAUGAAUAUUCUAGAUUACAAGGCUUAGCACUUUAACCAGAGAAUAAAUACAGACUGUGGUUGUUUCCAUGUAUUUAAAAAAAGUAAAUUAUGACACAAGUGAUGCACAUUUGUUCGGGGAAAGUUACAGUACAGAUGGGCAAAACCAAAGAAAAAAGUGCAUCAGUUCCCCUAAACUCCACCACCCAGAAACAAUUGCUAUUAACAGGAGGACGUGGUUUACUUCCAAUGCUUUUCUGGGCACAUAUGUAAGUGUGUGUGUGUGGCAGUGCAACCGUGGAAUCGCAUUGUAAGACUUGACCCUAACACAGCUUUCCAUUUAAAGUAUAUUGUGAAUACGUUUCUACGUCAAUACAUUUAAAUGAUCAAUUUUAAAGCUAUCUAGCCCUCUACUGGCAUCAAUGCAAAUUUUCCUCAGAUUGUAUCACGUUUAAAAAGUUUUUCUAAGAUACACCACACACUCUCCUGCCUUCCCUUCCUGUUUUCUAAUCCAAGUACAGAAACAUGACAUUGCUUGUUUCUAGGUGCCUUGGGGUCGCUGUUAUUCAGUGAACCCCUCAGGAUGUAAAGUUUCAAUAAAGAAGCAGUUUGGUAGAGACAAAAGAGCUCCAGAUUAGAAAUCAGGAUAGCUCUGGGCCCCUGUGCACUCAGGCUCCACAUGGUUAUGCACAGAAC
rnacentral:lncRNA from 1 species